rnacentral:rRNA from 1 species
GACGAACGCUGGCGGCGUGCUUAACACAUGCGAGUCGAACGGAAAGGCCCCUUUGGGGGUACUCGAGUGGCGAACGGGUGAGUAACACGUGAGUAACCUGCCCUUGACUUCGGGAUAACUUCAGGAAACUGGGGCUAAUACCGGAUAGGAAUCCUUGCUGCAUGGUGGGGGUUGGAAAGCUUCGGCGGUUUUGGAUGGACUCGCGGCUUAUCAGCUUGUUGGUGGGGUAGUGGCUUACCAAGGCUUUGACGGGUAGCCGGCCUGAGAGGGCGACCGGCCACAUUGGGACUGAAAUACGGCCCAGACUCCUACGGGAGGCAGCAGUGGGGAAUAUUGCACAAUGGGCGGAAGCCUGAUGCAGCAACGCCGCGUGCGGGAUGACGGCCUUCGGGUUGUAAACCGCUUUCAGCAGGGGCGAAGCUUUUGUGACGGUACCUGCAGAAGAAGCACCGGCUAACUACGUG